UGGUGCUUGGGUGAACUGAGGCUUUUAGGCAUUUAAAACUCCAUGGUCCUAAAGCAACAGGUCUGAACUGUCGCCUCUGGAUAAGAAAUAGGUCUGGGCGGGUUUGUGGGAGAUUUGGCGUCGGAGCUGCAGGUGUUGCCCAUUCGCUUUCGUGUGUUUAAUACCAGAGAGAAGGGCAAGGACCUCAGGGACCUUUUGUCGCCGAAAAAUCGACAGAGGUACUUGGACCUAGCAAAAGGCAGUAUCACCUCUCCAAGAUUCAGAACAAGAUCCCCACCCUACCCUAUCCCACCUCAUCCCAUCCCAUCCUAUCUCAUCCCAUCCCAUGCAUGCAUCCCACCCCUCCACAUUUUGGAAAGGGACAGCCAAAGGGAAUUUUCUGCCUCUUUGGGAGCACAUUCAAAUAAGUCCAUCUCUGUCUGUGCGUGCGUUCGUGUGAGUAUGUGUGAUGUGUGCAAGUGUUGUGGGUUGUAGAAGUUAUCAAGUGGGAUUUGCGGCAUGCUCUCUGCAGGAAACGAAAGCUGCUCCAGUUCAAAACCACAUGCACCAAUGUGACAUAUAAGCCAUUAAAAUAUCAUCCUGUCGGUUCAUUUGUGCUUCAUCAUACAUUCCCAAACUGCUCCCAGAAAGCAAGAAAAGAACAAAUGAAAGAUGACCGCCUCGAUGGAGUCGCCAAAGAGGAACCAGCUCAGGAAAUAAGGCACACAAUUCCCCUUGUAAUGAGGAAAAGAAAACGACUUUACAGAAACCUCCUGGAACAGUCAAGUAGCUACACGGGACACCAUGCUCCUCACCACCACCACCACCUUCACCACCACCACCACUCAGAAGCCGGGACUCACUCGCUUUAUACUGGACUCCACCAUGAGCAGCCUCCCCAUGCAACUGCAGGUGGCCAUCUAAACGGACAGAUAAGACUGGGGCUACCUGGAGACAUGUACGCCAGGGCUGAGCCUUUCACUCCAGUGCCAGCCUCCAGGACAGAUCCUUUCGCUGCUUCCUCCUUCCACGGCUACAGUGGCAUGAACCUGAACGUGAAUUUAGCUCCACACCACGGCCCUGGGGCUUUCUUUCGCUACAUGCGACAACCCAUCAAGCAGGAACUCAUCUGCAAGUGGAUCGAACUGGAUCAAACUCCCAAAAAAUUAUGCUCGAAAACUUUCAGCACCAUGCACGAGCUGGUGACUCACGUCACCGUGGAGCACGUCGGCGGGCCCGAGCAGUCCAACCACAUCUGUUUCUGGGAAGAGUGUCCCCGGGAAGGGAAGCCUUUCAAGGCCAAAUACAAACUGGUCAACCACAUCCGAGUCCACACGGGCGAGAAACCCUUUCCGUGCCCUUUCCCGGGAUGCGGGAAAGUCUUUGCUCGCUCCGAAAACCUCAAAAUCCACAAACGGACGCACACAGGAGAGAAGCCCUUCAAAUGCGAGUUCGAAGGCUGCGAGCGGCGCUUCGCCAACAGCAGCGACAGGAAGAAGCAUUCCCACGUGCACACGAGCGACAAGCCCUACAACUGCAAAGUGCGAGGCUGCGACAAGUCCUACACGCACCCCAGCUCCUUGCGGAAGCACAUGAAAGUCCACUGCAAGUCCCCUCCUCCCAGCUCCGGCUACGAGUCGUCCACCCCGUCGCUGGUGUCGCCCUCGUCGGACUGCGGCCGGGAGCCGCCUCAGCCGCCGCCGCCUCCUGCAGCCGCCUCCACACAGGCGGCGGCUAACCUGAGCGAAUGAUGUCUAUCCCGUUGCUCUCAAGGUAAUCUAGACAGAGGCAGCUGAAAAGCCCCGCAUCUUAUGCCUUAGACAUCAAAGCAGGCUCUCACAAAGAAAGUAUUUCUUCGCAACGGUGAAUCUUCAUGGUGGACUGGGAAAUGGGGAUAGAGGAAAGAGAGGGCAGGAGGAGAGAGAGAGAGAGAACGCUCUUCCCUGUUUCUCAGCUCUAGAGGACGUGCCUUCUGGAUCUUCUUUUCUGCUUUCUGGAUCUUCUUUUCUGAAUGUCUUGGGUUUCCAUUGUUCUCUGCACAGAACCCAAAUGUUUGUAAGCACCACCGUAAUUAUCCUAUGUUUGAAAAUGUUGAACCUCCCCAUCCUACCAUUACUCGACUGUAAUGAGUAUAAUAAUGGACACAGGCACACAAACUCGCAGACACGUGUCUGAAAACAGCCUUGGCUUAUGUUAAUACGUGAACUACCUAUUAAAAGCAUGCUUCUCUGCUGCAAAGCACUAAAAUGGUUAUGCCUUCAAAGCGAUGGCUUCCAUAUGUUGCAAUGUUUUAUUGUCAGCGAGUGGAAAGAAAAGUCACACACGGCCCCCCUCUAUUGAGAAAUGGCUGCAAUUAAAGGACGUCCUUAGGUGGCAGGGACUGGGAGACAAACGUUCAGAACCAGUGUUGCUUUUCUACCACUCUUAUGGCUUUGGGUUCCUCAGAGGGGGUACCAUCGCUGGGUUUUAUUCGUUGUGUCAAGUGCUGUAAACUAACUUUAUGACCAAUAGCCCAACAGAUUUCUGCAAGUAAGAGAGAGUUAACUGAUACGUGUGUAUGCAAAGGUACUGGGCCUGACCUAUGGGGGCACUCGGAUAAUGUAUAGAGGCAGCCCGAUCCAUAACUCAGUUAAGCAGAAGGGCUUCUAAUGUAAGCCAAUUACACCUACAGCAUAAACCGUAUGUGGGAGCAAUUUCUACCGAAUACAGUAGUAAUGAGUUCUAUGUAUAAUGUUCAGUUUCAGAGUGCUUCUAUGGGGCGCUAGUCUGCAAAUUCUGCCCAGCGAAGAAAUAGGUUAAGAACAUAAGAACAUUCCACUGAAACCUAUGAGAGCUCCUUGUCACUAAAUAUUACUAAGAUGUGGGAAUGUAAAUCGAACUUCGCUGUAAUCAGAAUGAAACAUCUCCACUACAGAACAGGUGCAUCUCACCAGAAAGUCUUUUAAGCUAACAAAACGGGUUAUAAGCCCAACAUAGUAUUCAACCUACUUUCAGUUACAGAAUUCGUUUAUUUCAAAGAUGUAGAGUUUCUUGAUUUGAACAUACUCUUUGUACAAUUUCUGUGUGAUGUUACUGGGUUUGGGGCGAUUUUCUUGUAAAUAUUUACAAACGGUCCUUGAAUUAAAAAUAUAAAUGUCAAUAUUAUGCCUGUUUUCAAUUUCUGAAAGUUCCAUAUCAUUUCCCUCCCAGUCACCAAUAAGGAGUAUGUAGCAAAAGGGAAAAGAAAUUCUAAGCAGCGAUCAUGUUGACUUGUUAUGUACCAAAUGUAAUUUGGGUCGGUUUCUAACGUGAUGUAAUGGCAAUUAUUGUAGUCGGGUUGUUAUGGAUAUGUUAUGGAUUUUUAAAAAAUAAAAAAUAAAUAAAAGCAAUAUUGGGCCAAAACAUCAUUAAUAUCCAUGGAGACAAUCAUACUUGUGAAGCAUUUGUACUUUUAAAAUAAAGCCCCGCA